rnacentral:rRNA from 1 species
AUACGGAGGAUCCGAGCGUUAUCCGGAUUUAUUGGGUUUAAAGGGUGCGCAGGCGGCCAUUUAAGUCAGCGGUUAAAUCGUGGGGCUCAACCCCAUUCUGCCGUUGAUACUGGGUGUCUUGAGUACAGUAGAGGCAGGCGGAAUUCGUGGGGUAGCGGUGAAAUGCUUAGAUAUCACGAAGAACUCCGAUCGCGAAGGCAGCUCACCGGGCCGGAACUGACACUGAUGCUCGAAAGUGCGGGUAUCAAACAGGAUUAGAUACCCUGGUAGUCCGCACAGUAAACGAUGAAUACUCGCUGUUUGCGAUACACUGUAAGCGGCCAAGCGAAAGCGUUAAGUAUUCCACCUGGGGAGUACGCCGGCAACGGUGAAACUCAAAUGAAUUGGCGGGG